rnacentral:rRNA from 1 species
CAGGUCUUGACAUCCGACUAACGAGAUAGAGAUAUGUCAGGUGCCCUUCGGGGAAAGUCGAGACAGGUGGUGCAUGGUUGUCGUCAGCUCGUGUCGUGAGAUGUUGGGUUAAGUCCCGCAACGAGCGCAACCCCUGCCAUUAGUUGCUACGCAAGAGCACUCUAAUGGGACCGCUACCGACAAGGUGGAGGAAGGUGGGGACGACGUCAAAUCAUCAUGCCCCUUAUGACCUGGGCUACACACGUAAUACAAUGGUCAUUAACAGAGGGAAGCAAAGCCGCGAGGCAGAGCAAAUCCCCAAAAAUGAUCUCAGUUCGGAUCGUAGGCUGCAACCCGCCUGCAUGAAGCUGGAAUGCUAGUAAUCGCAGAUCAGG